UACGUAGGGUGCAAGCGUUGUCCGGAAUUAUUGGGCGUAAAGAGCUUGUAGGCGGUUUGUCGCGUCUGCUGUGAAAUUUCGGGGCUCAACCCCGAACUUGCAGUGGGUACGGGCAGACUAGAGUGUGGUAGGGGAGACUGGAAUUCCGUGGUGUAGCGGUGAAAUGCGCAGAUAUCAGGAGGAACACCGAUGGCGAAGGCAGGUCUCUGGGCCAUAACUGACGCUGAGAAGCGAAAGCAUGGGGAGCGAACAGG
rnacentral:rRNA from 1 species